UACGUAGGUGGCAAGCGUUGUCCGGAAUUAUUGGGCGUAAAGCGCGCGCAGGCGGCCUUUUAAGUCUGAUGUGAAAUCUUGCGGCUCAACCGCAAGCGGCCAUUGGAAACUGGGAGGCUUGAGUACAGAAGGGGAGAGUGGAAUUCCACGUGUAGCGGUGAAAUGCGUAGAUAUGUGGAGGAACACCAGUGGCGAAGGCGACUCUCUGGUCUGUAACUGACGCUGAGGCGCGAAAGCGUGGGGAGCAAACAGG
rnacentral:rRNA from 1 species